rnacentral:tRNA from 1 species
UAGAUGGAAGUCCGCUGGUUUGGGCAUCUAACUGUUAAUUAGAAUUUUGUGGGAUCGAGGCCCGCCCGUCUA